rnacentral:rRNA from 1 species
UGGGGAAUCUUCCGCAAUGGACGAAAGUCUGACGGAGCAACGCCGCGUGUAUGAUGAAGGUCUUCGGAUUGUAAAGUACUGUCAUUGGGGAAGAACGGUUUUCUUGAAAAGAUUGAGAAGAUAUGACGGUACCCAAGGAGGAAGCCCCGGCUAACUACGUGCCAGCAGCCGCGGUAACACGUAGGGGGCAAGCGUUGUCCGGCAUUAUUGGACGUAAAGGGCGCGUAGGCGGGCCUUUAAGUCCGGUGUGAAAGAUGAGGGCUCAAACCUGAGGGUGCAUCGGAAACUGGAGGCCUUGAGGACAGGAGAGGAAAGUGGAAUUCCACGUGUAGCGGUGAAAUGCGUAGAUAUGUGGAGGAACACCAGUGGCGAAGGCGACUUUCUGGACUGUAACUGACGCUGAGUCGCGAAAGCGUGGGGAGCAAAC